CUUCGCAUAAUGUUCCACUACCAAAAGUAGUAAUAUGAGGCAAACUAUCAACCAAAAUUUUGUUUACCAUGACUUUUAACUUAUCCAUAUUAAGGUGCCCCAAUCUAGCAUGCCAAAGUGAUGCAUUAUCAUUCGUGCUCAUCUUGUCAACAUAAGAUGUAGAUGCUGACAAAACAAAUAAAUUUUUAACUCGCUUACCGGUGUGGACGACAUCUCCUUCCACCUUAGUGAUAUUUCGGAAGAACUUCACUCCAUUUGGCCCGAACAGAACAUAGUGCCCAGCAUCCACAGCGUUAGCCACCGAGAAAAGAUUCUUCCUCAUUCCAGGUACAUGGCUUACCUGUGUGAACGACAUCUCCUUCCACCUUAGUGAUAUUUCGGAAGAACUUCACUCCACUUUGGCUCAAACAGAACAUAGUGUGCAUCCACAGCGUUAGCCACCGAGAAAAGAUUCUUCCUCAUCCCAGGUACAUGAUACACACUC
rnacentral:lncRNA from 1 species